rnacentral:lncRNA from 1 species
AGCCGCACGUGACCACGACGCUGCUCGGUCCUGCGACCCAGCCAUCGCCGGCCGCCGUGCAGGUCUAUGCCUCGCCGCUUGUUCCACAGCUUCUGUUCUCGUGUGUGUGUGUGCGCGCAUGCGCGUGCACUCGCAUCGAACCCAUGGCCUUUGCCCUCAGCUGCAGCCUCAGCCUUGUUUUAUCUCCUCUUCCUAAGUCACUACAUCGCCUUGUGACCCUCCUGCCUCAGCCUCCCAGAGGGCCGGGAUGACAGCUCUGUAUUUUAGGAACUGUAAUCAAGCUAGAUGGAGCCCACGAGCUCUGAGAAGCCACCGAGCAGCGGCCACUGUGUGUCAGCAGAGGAGGAGAGGAAAUGCUGAACAAUUCUCGGUCUCCGAGCCUGCAGAGGGAGGUGCAGACGGGACGGCACAAAACUCUUAGCCCAGUGCAGACUUCUGCUUUCCGGGCUUGGGAGAACUCCCUGGUGAAGCUGCUCCGGAAGAAUUUAUUUAGCAGCAGUUUAUUAAAAGUGGAACACACAGCGUCUGAUCUGAUCCAGUGCUCCUGGGCACUCGAGAAAAAUGAAAGCAGAUGUCCACAAAAACCUUGCUCUUCAAGGUUCAUGGCAAUGCUGUUUGUGAUGGCCCGAGCCGAGAGACAAAUACCACGUCACCAGUACGUGUGUAAAUGGAGGACACAUUCAUGACCUUGUUGGCGCUGUUUUGAGACAGGGAAUCACUGUGUUGCUACCUUGCUCAGGCUGGUCUUGAACUUGUGACCUUCCUGCUUCAGCCUCCCAGGUGUGCGUCACCAGAC